ensembl:lncRNA
CUCCUUUCCUCCCCCCCUACCUCUCAAUUACAAUAAUAGAGAUAAUGACCUUCAUGUGAGUGAUAUUUCGGUCAUUUACACAAAUUAGAUACGGGAUACAAUAAUCUCUUACAGGAUUUAAAAUGAACAGCGAUAACAUGAAUAAAAAUGUAGUUAAACUAUAUAAAACCCAAUGCGUGGAAUCCCCACUUUGUCUCGGGCACAUUCAAACGGAUGGCAAAACAAAUUUAGAUUUAACCGUUUCUCCCCGUUAAACUUUGAACGUUGAUGAUUUUUUAUUUUGCACUCCAUGUUUAUUCAUGUACAGUAAAACUGGAUUAGUUUUAGAUUACGCGUCUGACGUCACGUUCAGGAGCAGUCGGUCACGAUUAACACUCAAAUGACUUUUAGGCAAUGAACACUUUAAAUAAUACAAACAUUUAUAAUCUUUACAUUCCGGCCACUGAAACGACAGCGAAGGCGGCGCGUGGGAAAGGGAGGGUGUGCUGUGCCUCACAAGGUUGGCGGUUCGAAUCCUGGCUGCUCCCUGUGCAAAGUCAAAGUGUCCCUGAGCAAGACACCUAACCCCCAAUUACUCCACGUACAAUUAUGUCAAACCAUGGGCGUUUUGGAUAAAAGUCACAGCUGCAUGUAUAGUAAUGUCCUGUAAGUCAAAGUCAUCAUCGUAUCUCAUGAGAUAUUAUGAUGAUUUACAGGACCUGUUUUUCAGUGGCUGACAUGGGCUUCCAUACAUUAACCUACAAAAGAUGUAGAUGGAUUGUGAUUCACUGCACUUGUAUGUGUAUUUCCACCACUUCAUACGAUAUAUGUAACAUGCAGUUAAUUUACGGUAGUCUGCUAUUAUUGUAAAUUCACAGCUUUAACUGUUUAUUCAUGACAUUGGCCGUUAAUUUACAAGCAGGGGAUGAAAAUUUAACGGUAUGUUACAGUAAUUAUGACAUACUGUAAGAUACUGUUAGAAAUGCACCGUAAAUUUACAGCAAUUUGUUACAGUGUAGUAUGAACAUCAUGAUGAUUCUUCUCGUUACCCACAGUUGAAAAAUUAACUGGACAUGUCGACUCAAUUUCCUCAGCGUGUUGACUUGAUUUCAUAUGCAGUCACAUAUAAGUUGUCUUUAUCCUGAACAUCAACACAAGGCAUCCUGGAUAUCUCCAUGAAACAACCGCAACUGUACAGCAUCACGAAUUGUGAUCCGCAGCUCGGAGACCCGUCACUGUCUUGAGUCCAGGGUCGAAGUCCGUCACCUUGCUCAAAGGCCAAGGUGACGACGGCUCCCCGGGUCCCCACCAGGUGUUUCCGCGUCCCCUUAAUGAAACACCAAAGGGCAGUCGGUUGAGACGGAAGGAGACAAAUUGAAUUGGGGGCCUCUCCUUUUGUGUGCUGCAUUAACAACUCAAUUAAAUGCCGGCGAGCAUCUGCCGCCUUGCCAGCCUGGCAGGAUUCGGGAGGGAUGCAGCUAUUUUAAUACCUUACUGAGUCUGUCGCGCUCUCGUUCUCUGAGCAAGAGGGCCGAGACACAAUAACAGGGAGCGAGAGAGAGAGAGAGAGAGAGAGAGAGUAUUGUGCAGAGACUCUAGUGUCUCCCUGACACUCUUAUUACACCUCAAGGUGAGGCGUGCACAGCGGAUGCAGACGUUUAUAGAUGGCAAGGUAGCUACAGUGAUUAUGUACAUACACACACUCCACACACGUUUGUGCUGAGUGGACAUGACAGUGUAGGUUGAUUCACACAGCACUUUAACAAGUUGGAAGUAUUGAGAAACAUGCAUGAAAAUGAAAUGUAAACUGAAAAAAUUGUACUCUAGCUUUAUAAUAUUAAUAGACAAUAAUACAUCAAAAGCUUGCUAUAAAUAACUAUUGUCAAAUUAUGGGAUUUAGCAGCUUCUUGCACCAGCAAAUAGCCGGUAAUCUGUUGUCAGGAACCAUCGUUCACGUCCUCCUAAAGCAACAUCAAAGCUCUGCAUGAAGGCCGGCUGCAGGCUGUGGUGAGACAGAGGGAGAGAAAGGGAGGAGAGGGCGGGAGGAAGGAGCGCGGCUCAUCCCAGUCUGGGAGUUCAUCCAUCAUUGGAAUCAGUGUGUGCUGUAAUUACUGUGUCAAGUAGAUGGGAUGAUGCCUGGGAGGAACGUGCGAGAGUGCGCAUGUGUGUGUGUGCGGGUGUGUGCGGGUGUGCGUGUGCGUGCAGUCAUGUGUGUUUGCAUGUGCGUUUAUACGUCUGGAUUCACUGAGGGUGUCUGCUCGUGUUUGAGAGGUGUCCCAUGGACAUGUUAUCUUCAUAAUCACCCCUGCACACACACACACACACACACACACACACCAAACCGCUCCCUCCUCGACUGUCAUCCGUCAUCCAUAGUCGGUGCUGUCAACUGGUGCUGUCAUGCAUUGCCAACGUCGGGCAGCCAGGAGAGGAAGUCUUAACUCUUUCAGCAGCGGAGCCCUGCGAGGGUUCGGGAGGGAUGCAGCUAUUUCAGGAAUGCGCGGUAUUAAAGGAGGAAGAGGCUGAAACAUGGGAGGCGUCGGAGCCGCUCACGGUCGUUCUGGUGAUCUCUCCACGUUUCAAGAGAAAGGUGAAAUGGUAAAAUAAAGAAGGUUUAUGAGGGGUUUUUUGCAUCGAAAUCCUUCAUUCUGUGUCAGCAACAAUUGCUGUCCCAUUUGAGAAUAGUUGAAAAUGGAUAAAAGGUUCCACGAGUCAUGAGAAUCAUUUUAUACAGAGAUGUAACGUAGAUGGAGAUCGAACACCGUCACACCUGAAUUGAACCACAAAGAGUAUUAGUGUUUCAGUAAUACACAAUUCUCUGCAGAAAUAUCUAACUUUACUAUUUUAGGAUGUAGGCCAAAAUAUUUGACAUUGCAUGCAAAAAAAGCCUUAAAAAAGAGAAGACGAUAAAAACACUUUCAUUCACAUUUAUUGAAGUAAGAGGUCGUGGGACAAAAAGAUGGUUCGGCUGCAGUGUUGUGUAGCCCCCCCACAUCCCCCACCCUGCAACAACUUAAAAAUACCCAUCAUGCCUCAGCUAUAACUGCCACUUACCACCAUUUGCCGUUUUUAAUGCUAUUGUUAACGUUCUUUUCCGCAGUUGACUAAAAUUGAAAAGUUAACAGCCGAACAAACCGCAUAUGUUUCACUUUGAAACCUCUUUUCACUAAAUGAACCCGGAGGAAUGAGGCCCCCCCUCCCUCCCCUCAGGGGGAGCACAGUGGGGAAGGGGGAGGCAGGCCCGAGAAGCAGCGCGGGUCGACGUCUUCCUCGUGUCCCGUCCUCUCGCUUGAGAGGUUAUCUGAAAAAUGGGCGGCGUGUCCACGGGCCAUAUGGCUCGGCGGGGGAGAGCAGCGGAGCACGUAAAGAGGCGGAAGCGGCGUUCGCCGCUCGGCUGCUCCGCUGUCGCCAAUCAAAAGUCCCGGUGAAGCGCUGAAUGAGGAGUGUGGUCGGGGACGGGCCCGCCAAAUGACGUCAUCGGCGAGAAACCUAAAGUGGUUGUCGUUGAAGGAAAACGACCAGGAUGCAUUACACGACUUCAGUUCCUCGCUUGGCUCCAACUCGAGGCGCCGCAGAACCCUGCAGAACUCAUAACGUUGGCGGGGAGAAUUGACAGCUCUCUUUUGGGCCUUUGAAAUUACUGUCGUCUCAACGCCGCCUCCCCUUCUCCUCCUGAUGCCGCUGCUCUCGAGGGUUAUUAGGGAAAUGCAUUACAUUUGGUGCCAUAUGCUGGCAGGUUGUUUGGGAAUAGCGCCGCGGUCGUAUCACAACACGCUGUAGCUUACGUUUGCCCGGUUAAUUACCGUCAUGACAUCAAAACUGGAAGCAGGCUGCAGAUGCCGCGCUGGUAAAAAACAAAGCUCUCAGGGAGGGAGGUGUCGUUAAUAAAGGUGAGGUGACUGACUCAUAAUAGGAAGAGUUGCAAAUCGUUCAUCACGAUGAGUUCAGAUCAAGCCCAGCUGUUUACUGGUUAGCCGAUUACGGCAGACGGGUUAGUUACUUAUUGUGAAAGUAAAGUGUGUUCAUGUAGCUCCAAUAACCGUUCCUUCUAUCCGCUGCACAUUUCGACCAAUGUUGCAACGAUGCAAUUGCAGCUUUACUUUUUUUUCAUGGUGAUCAAUGGUUGAAAAUCCUGACAGUUCCAACAGCUUCUCCUCACAAGCUCUCAUUAAGUGGUAUGUGUUAUUAUAUAAUAAACUAUUGGCUAUUUAAAAUGGCUACAUAUCCCAGAUGUACGUAUCAUGUAAAAAUAUCUGACUCUACUUGAUGGUUGGAAGACAUUCAUGGUUACAAGAGGAUACAUCCUAAAAAGAUCACUGACCUUGAGCUGAUAAUGUGACGGUGAAGUGAUUUUGCCGACUACAACUGCUCUGUUAUUUGUUACAGACAUUUAUAUUCUGACCUUCCGUUCAGCACCAACAUCGAUUUUAACAUCUCCAACAAUAAGCCAAUGCUAGCAUGCUAACACACCACGAUGCUAUCCGCUAAGAUCCGGUUUCUCUUUGACGCUUUACGGCAGUAACGUUCUUCUUUGACGCAGCUAGAUUUGCAUGCGCGCACGCAGUGACACGCGUGUACGUGUGUGUGUGUGUGUGUGUGUGUGUGUGUGUGUGUGUCUACAUUUAAUAACGAAGAAAGUCAGCCAUGGCCCAAAAGCCCUGGGGCUAUUUAUAGUGGGCAGCAGGCGGAGUGGCAGUCUUCUCUUAAUCAGCACGCUAGUGCGAGAGGUAAUUUAAAGACGCCUCGCCGCUGACAAGAAUGAAAUUGUGUUUUGAUUUUCUCAUUAGCCUAAUCUCAAGUGGGCCUCGUUAUUGUGUAAUUUUCCUGCCUUGACACGACAUCUUGUUUUGGGCGGUGACAGCCGUAUGCCGCCGUUUCGGGGACAGGGGCAGGGGUGGCAGC